AGUAGGAGGACUUUGGUUGAGUGUUGAGGGAUGUUCUGAGCACAAGCCUCUGGCACAAGCCAUGAUAUCUAGAUAUAUUUCCGGCCAGGCAGCUGCGAAAACCAAACAACUCUUUAUAUCAGAGAAUCUGUACAAAAGUUGAAUGAUGUAAACAUAGAGACCUACACAAAUGAUCAGGUGAUGGAAGCAUUGAAAACAGAGGGAGAUGUUGUAACAUUGACUAUCCAGUAUUUCAAAGCAGCUGGUUUGUUCCUUAACAAAUCUUCCGACGAUUGUAAGUAUACUGCUUUAAACUUGAAAUUGUUAUUUAUAAAAGCUUCACUGGAAGAAACAAUCUCCAUAACUCUGUUUUGAAUUUUGGCAGAGUGAUACUCCUUUAUAACUUAGAAUUAUUUUGUUAAAGUUUUAAUAUAAAGAUCAAUAUCUGCUACUGUCAGAACUUAAAUUUAAAGUAGUUAUACACUAUCAAAGUCUACACCAGAAGAAAGAAUCAUCAUAACUCUGAUUAUAUAUUUGAGUUAAGCGACUUUUACAGGCAAAGCUCUUAUUCAAGCACUGAAGAAAGCCCAGUGUGCUGUCUUAUGGACAGUUCUGUUGCAUGUGAUGUGAUAGUUAAUUCAGGAAAAAAGUGCACACUCUUCAGUCACUGACUUUUUAGAAUAUUUUGUAAUACUAUAUUUUUAUUAUGCCUCCGAAGGGAGGCAUAUUAGUUUUCAACUGUCCGUCCAUUCAUUUGUUCGUUCGUUCGUCACAAUGUUAAGGCCCUUUACUCGCGAACCACUGCACCAGGACCUUAAAACUUCACAUUCUGAUAGUACUUAUUGAGUACACAACCCCUACUGACUUUGAAGCCACCAGGUCAAAGGACAAGAUCACAGGGGCCAAUGUUAACUUUUUGCAUGAAGGCACUUUACUCGCGAACCACUGCACCCAGGACCUUUAAACUUCACAUGCUGAUAAUACUUAUUGAGUACACGACCUCUAAUGACUUUGGGGUCACCAGGUCGAAGGUCAAGGUCACCAGGUCGAAGGUCAAGGUGCUGCGGGGAAAUUUGUCACCAUUAGUGACAGCUCUUGUUAUGUUUUACUUUUCAGCAUCCUUAAAUGAAAAUGAAAGAGUAAGUAUAUGAUAUACAUGAUUAUUAUAAUAUGUGUUAUAGGUAAUGGUAAAUUCAUUUACAUAACUUCUUUUUUGCCAGUUACUAGUUUGUGCUAUUGACUGGCUCAUUGUUCAAUUAUAGGUUUACUUUGCUAAAAUCAUAACUUGAGAAAAAAACUUGAUAUCGUGUAAUUAAACACUUUUUGAAUGGCUCACUAGGCAGAAGUUAAAACUAUUUGUUGAAGGUUUGUGGAUGUGUAAGCUCUUUUCUAUCAAUGAAGGUGAUGUUUUUUUAGGAAACUUUAAGAAUUUACACUCUGCAGAUCUUGUUUUAUUUUCAUUUUAUUUAAUUAUUUUAAAUAUUUCAGAAUACUUCACCUCCUGGCGUGAUUUUACCAAGACUUGAGACAGUGUGUUGUCUACUCAUCAAUACCACUGUUAUAUGCAUACAUUACACGAUAUGUCGGUCGACAGAUCAACUCAGGAUUACAUUUCUGUGCGCAAGGAUUAAAAAACUACACCAGACUGGUGGCCAUGACAGAUGUCAGUGGGAAAUUUAAACAUGGACUAGAUACUUUGAUGUGUAGCAAAAAAGUUCAUCGUUGAUGGUGGUGUUUUUCUGUGAUAUAUUGACUGGGAUAGUAUUACUCUUCAGAAAUACAGAGCUGUCAAUGUUGCAAUUUUGUUGUGAAAUUCACAAUCCAUGUCCAAAAGUGCUUGUUUUACCAUACAGCAAAGAAGGAGAAAUUGUACCGGGCCGACACCGUUACGGUACCAUAAUCCUAGCCUCCGAUUCUAGGAUUACAGAAGUUCCGUAUUUCAAGACAACACUAUGAGAAUAGGCUAGGAUUACGAAAGUAUAUAAGAGGCAUCAAAUAUAUGUUAGGACAUGCAUAAAUGUUGUAAACUUACUUAUUUCAUUUAAAAUAGCGACUUUUCAUGCCUAUCGUAUUAUUAUGUGCAAGACAACCUGCCACAUUGAGGAAAACAUUUAUGUCCAAUAAAUAAGAUUGUUUAAUAUA